rnacentral:rRNA from 1 species
GACGUAGGGCGCAAGCGUUGUCCGGAUUUAUUGGGCGUAAAGAGCUCGUAGGCGGCUUGUUGCGUCGACCGUGAAAACCCCGUGGCUCAACUGCGGGCUUGCGGUCGAUACGGGCGGGCUAGAGUUCGGUAGGGGAGACUGGAAUUCCUGGUGUGAGCGGUGAAAUGCACAGAUAUCAGGAGGAACACCGGUGGCGAAGGCGGGUCU